AGAAACACUUCAGAGGUCCCCCACAAACACUAGAACACUCAGAGGUCCCCACAAACACUUAAAUAUUCAGAGGUCCCCACAAACACUAGAAACACUCAGAGGUCCCCACAAACACUAGAACACUCAGAAGUCCCCACAAACACUAGAACACUCAGAGGUCCCCACAAACACUAGAACACUCAGAGGUCCCCACAAACACUAGAACACUCAGAGGUCCCCACAAACACUAGAACACUCAGAGGUCCCCACAAACACUAGAACACUCAGAGGUCCCCACAAACACUAAACACUCAGAGGUCCCCACAAACACUUAAAUAUUCAUCUUCUAAUUAGAGAGGAAAUUCACGCCAUUCACAGCAUUAGGGGACCACUAAGGUCUAUAAAAAGAGACUUCAGAUACAGUAUUAGGGGACCACUAAGGUCUAUAUAAAAGAGACUUUAUUAGAAACGUACCUCCUCCUGAUGCUGGUCUCGGUCUCUCUCUCUCU